rnacentral:rRNA from 1 species
AGCUCCAAUAGCGUAUAUUAAAGUUGUUGUGGUUAAAAAGCUCGUAGUUGGAUUUCGGCGGGUAGUGGUUGGUUUUAAUUUAUUCAACACUGCCUUUUUUACCCGUGUGUUUUUCCAGAAUCUUUCGGGUUGUCUUUUCCGAUUUUCCGUUGGAACUGGCAGGUUUACUUUGAAAAAAUUAGAGUGCUCAAAGCAAGCUUACUGCUUGAAUAGUUGCGCAUGGAAUAAUAGAAUAGGAAGUCGUUUCUAUUUUGUUGGUUUUCGGAAAUCGACUUAAUGAUUAAUAGGGAUAGUCGGGGGCAUUCGUAUUCAAACGACAGAGGUGAAAUUCUUGGACCGUUUGAAGACGAACUAAGGCGAAAGCAUUUGCCAAGAAUGUUUUCA